GAGGGUGUAGCUCAGUGGUAGAGCGCAUGCUUAGCAUGCAUGAGGUCCUGGGUUCAAUCCCCAGUACCUCCA
rnacentral:tRNA from 1 species